CAGUCGAGCGACAGACGAGGAGCUUGCUCCUCUGACGUUAGCGGCGGACGGGUGAGUAACACGUGGGUAACCUACCUAUAAGACUGGGAUAACUCCGGGAAACCGGGGCUAAUACCGGAUAACACAUGAAACCGCAUGGUUUCAUGAUGAAAGACGGUUUUGCUGUCACUUAUAGAUGGACCCGCGGCGUAUUAGCUAGUUGGUAAGGUAACGGCUUACCAAGGCAACGAUACGUAGCCGACCUGAGAGGGUGAUCGGCCACACUGGAACUGAGACACGGUCCAGACUCCUACGGGAGGCAGCAGUAGGGAAUCUUCCGCAAUGGGCGAAAGCCUGACGGAGCAACGCCGCGUGAGUGAUGAAGGUCUUCGGAUCGUAAAACUCUGUUAUUAGGGAAGAACAAGGAUGUAAGUAACUGUGCAUCCCUUGACGGUACCUAAUCAGAAAGCCACGGCUAACUACGUGCCAGCAGCCGCGGUAAUACGUAGGUGGCAAGCGUUAUCCGGAAUUAUUGGGCGUAAAGCGCGCGUAGGCGGUUUUUUAAGUCUGAUGUGAAAGCCCACGGCUCAACCGUGGAGGGUCAUUGGAAACUGGAAAACUUGAGUGCAGAAGAGGAAAGUGGAAUUCCAUGUGUAGCGGUGAAAUGCGCAGAGAUAUGGAGGAACACCAGUGGCGAAAGCGACUUUCUGGUCUGCAACUGACGCUGAUGUGCGAAAGCGUGGGGAUCAACAGGAUUAGAUACCCUGGUAGUCCACGCCGUAACGAUGA
rnacentral:rRNA from 1 species